AACGAACGCUGGCGGCAUGCCUAACACAUGCAAGUCGAACGAGAGCUUCGGCUCUAGUGGCGCACGGGUGCGUAACGCGUGGGAAUCUGCCCUUGGGUUCGGAAUAACAGUUGGAAACGACUGCUAAUACCGGAUGAUGACGUAAGUCCAAAGAUUUAUCGCCCUGGGAUGAGCCCGCAUCGGAUUAGCUAGUUGGUGGGGUAAAGGCCUACCAAGGCGACGAUCCGUAGCUGGUCUGAGAGGAUGAUCAGCCACACUGGGACUGAGACACAGCCCAGACUCCUACGGGAGGCAGCAGUGGGGAAUAUUGGACAAUGGGCGCAAGCCUGAUCCAGCAAUGCCGCGUGAGUGAUGAAGGCCUUAGGGUUGUAAAGCUCUUUUACCUGGGAAGAUAAUGACUGUACCGGGAGAAUAAGCCCCGGCUAACUCCGUGCCAGCCGCCGCGGUAA
rnacentral:rRNA from 1 species